GUGCUUGUGUAAUGAAGUCUCCAUAACAACCCACGAGGAGAGAGUUCUGAGUGCUUUCAAGUUGGUGGAGGUCCUGGAGAGGGCAUGGAAGCUCCCUGUGCUUUCCUUAUACUUCACAGCUCUUCUUCUCUUCCAUCUGGUGGUUCCUGAGCUUUAUCCUUUUAUAACAAACCAGUGAUCAAACCGUGUACUUUGUGAAAAUAAGAACCCCAUCUUCUUUGUUCAUUUCUGGAUCCUCAGAACCUGCCUUCCAUGACCUCCUACUGUUGACCAAACUAGCAGCCUGUGUCCUGUUUGAAGAGCUACUGCGGCAGAAGCCGCUGCCUCCAAGCGCUUACGGGAUUUAUCUCUAAAUUAAUAUUUUCAUCGAACACGCUCACGAUACACCUUACAUAAUCUUUAAAUUAUAGGGAAACGCUAGAAGGGUGUUCUGCAAGUCACUGGCUGGAGUCCUGCGAGAGAUUUAUGGCUCUCUCAAGUCGACAUUUGUGACUGACCUACAGCACACCAGGGCUGCUAUUUCCCUUUCCUGAUUCAUGAUAAGUGCAGCUGCCUCCAAAUAAGCCUCCCGAGCCCAUUAAUGCUCAGUCCAUUCCCUUCUGGUAAAUACGCACAUCCCCAGCCUCACUUUUGAAUGUUCAGCGGCGACAAAGUUGAAUAGAAAAUCAGGUUGCCUUUUCCUGUUCGAAACCCUUUGCCAAGUGCCUUGUCACCAGAACGUGGGCGCCCCAGAGUCCAACUUAACCUCUGGCUCUAAUUAAGGAGAUACUUUCCAAUAUAGUUUACUCUCGCAAAAAUAGCAAGAUUGUUUUCCCCUGGCAACACGGGUUUUAAGGUCCUACACUGGGACGCCUUCCGUGUUUUGCUGCCAGCACCAUAGCUAAUUAACAAAAUUGCAUAAAGAUUGAUAUGAAGGUAAAUAUUAAAGGCACAAAAGGGAAGGGAAGGCAAAUUAUUUAAAAUGUCAGAAAAGCCAAGACAUUCAUCUUCCCUGCCGCAAUUUGUUUUUCAUUAAUAAAAUAUACAUUGUUUUCCGCUCGGAAAAGUUAUUAGUGGCAACACGGUCUGCACGAAGCUUUGUCUCUUCUGAAAUGAAGUCUUUGUUUAGACAUCGGUGAUGAGGGUUUUGUGCCAUUGUCUAAUCUGUCAGAUUAGAUGAGCAAGUGUAUUUAGGGGUGCAAAGAUGUGCAGCCACACCUGCUGUGCAAAGCUGUGAAUUCACAACUCUUCUGACUAUUAAAAUGUGUUAUCCUGGGAGCUCUUUUGUUGUAAUGGAACUGUUGGUGGUUGUGUGUUUGAAGUCGCGCAAGUGUCAGGCCUUAUUACAAUCAUAAUAAUCACUCCAAAAAUAACCUCAUAUUUCGACCAUUUCAUGUUAAUGCGCAAAAAAUUAAAGGCUAAGCACCUAAUAGAUUUGAAGAUGUGAAAGUGAUUUUGCACUCAAAUCUUUCUAAGCAAAAACGAAAGUCCAUUAAUGCAAUAAUAUUCACAACCCAGAAAAACUAUAGCCAUUUGAGAGAGAGUUUUGAAAUAAUACAGGACGCGAACAAAGGACACGCAACCAAAUGUGAAGCCAAUAUAGUGAGGAUAAAAUUAUUCUCUGAGCGAUAUUAACUGUGAUCCUUAAAAAACGCUAAUUAUCAUUUCUUUAUCUGUUGAUGUUUGUCCUUUUCAUGGGAACCUAUCAUGAUAUUUUAUUCCCUCAACUAAAUAUUGGAUUAAGCCUAAACAGAGCUAAUAUUUUCUACUUAUCCCUGAUUAUAUUGGCCACUUUUUUUGUGUGCAAUUUCUGUUAUUUUACUUUGUUGAAAUGUAACUGCCCUUAAUAAUCUUGAAACAAAACAAGGAAAUAGAGCUGCUUCAUUUAUUAACUCACCAUGCAGUUCCUAAAACCUACUUUUCUACCUAAUUUAUAUUUUUGAUAUUGGAGGUUUUUGUUGAGCAUUAGUGUUCUUUAAAUAAUCGUUGAGUGUCUCAUAAAUCUGUAGGACUUUCUUCAUUAUAAGUUAGAGCAUUUGCUAAGGAAUGAGAGAAUUUUUUUUCCAGUAUUUUAAAAAGCAAGGGAAAAGAGAAAAGAACAAAAUGUUAAGCCUCUGUUGUUACUUUUAUAACACUAAGCAGCUUGUGGCAGGUUUAAUAGACCCUAAUCUAGAGAGGCCUUUUUAGGGACCUUAGACCUGUAUGGCCUCAUUAAUUCACAUGGUGCGUGACAGUUCAGAGGUGUCCUAAACCAGCCAUUACCUGCAUAAACAGGCUCUGAUGCCAGCGUGGCACGUUCACUGUCCUCAGAUCAGAAUUCCUCAUCCUUGAUAGCUGUGAUUAGACAAAACCUCCGUAAUGGAAGAAUAUUUUCUUUUUUUUCCUCUGUAAAUACCAAUGAAAUCUGAUCACGAACUACGGUGCAGUACCUUGCAAAACAGAUUUUUAAAUAUUUUUAGCACUAUCCCACAAGAAGAUAAUGCACACUGAACCGAGAAAAGAUACUGGCUUAAAAUAAUGGAAAGAUAUUGGCCUUCUCCAACUCUCCAGAAAUUGUCAUUUUACUGAGACUCGGGCAUACAAUUAGGUGGCCCUCAUUUGACAAUCAUUACAAUGCUGAGACCCAGAUUUCAUAUUGUGUAACAUCUGGAUGGUCCUGCACAUGUAGCAGGGUGACAGCUUCACACAUUCCUUGAAAAGAGGCGUCCACACACUGACAGUUACUCAUCAUUCAGAACCAGAGGAAAAAAAAAAUGAAACGAAAGAAAGAUUUUCCUCCUGACUCUUAAUUUAGGCUAAUCUAUGUAAAAUACAUUAUCUAAUAGCAACCAGCACAGGAACAGUUUUCUGGCACAUUUGCAAAUUGCAGCUGGUCUGAAUUAAAGCAAGAAAUAUUUUACCUUGUGAUAGAAAAGGGAAAAAAAGUUUUUACCAAAGGCCAAACUGUGUAAUAAAGGAAAUUAAGAGUAAUUGAAGAUUUGAUUUAAUUUAAUUAACUUUGUAAUAAUCUUAAAUUACUUCUCUUUUUUAUCCUUAUAUAAAUGCCCAGUGAAGACAUUGAAUAUGAAAAUGCUAAAAUAAUAUGUAAACCUAGUAUUUUAAUUAAAUCAGUGCCAAGCUAAUUUCUAGCUAUUACUUGUUGAGAGAAGUCUUCGUGAUAACAGGAUUGUUCAUCUCAAGGCUGUAUAAAGUGAUGAAAAACAUAUAAAUAUGUGAAAAUUAAUAUCUGCACAUGUGUUUUUUCUUUUCAAGUACGCUGAAAUCUUCACAAACCUUUAAUAU